rnacentral:misc_RNA from 1 species
UAUGGAUAUUUUAAAUCAGGCAUAGGCACAGAAAUGCCGUUGAGCGGUUUCUACGUCAGACUUAUUCGAGAGGUUCGAUUCUACUCUACUAGCAGCCAUUUAUACGUGAUGUCGGAGGUAUUGAAGAAAGUGAGGAACGAUCUGUUAACAAAUAUUUUGGCAAAAUGGCAACUUUAAAUAACGUAAUGAAAGCUAUAGAAGCUUUGAAAUCCACUCAAGAACCAGAUAGUGUUCUGUCAGAUUCAAAUACAAGGAAAGAUAAAUUAGCAUGUUGCAUGACGAUAGCAGAAGGGAUGUGUUCACCAAGCGGCAAACUAGCAUCCAAAUUUCCUCAGGUUCUUAGUCUUUCAAUUAAAACAUUAUUAAAUUUGUGUAAUGAUGAUGAAUCUGAUGUCAGAAUGGUAGCAGAUGAAACCUUAAAUAAGAUUAUAAGGGCAAUGACUGACAGUAAUAUUGUAAAGGUACAAAUAGAACUUUAUAAUGAAAUAAAAAGAAAUGGACCAGCAAGAACAUUGAGAGCUGCUCUUUGGAGGUUUGGACUUCUUAGCCAUAUGAUUCGUCCUACAAGAGGAAAAGCAUAUGUUUCUAAUUUAAUACCAUGCAUAAUUUGUAUUGCACGUCGUUCCGAAGAAUCUGUAAUUGAAACAUUAUCACAAUCAUUACUAUUGAUUAUGAAAGCAUUAGGGCCAUUUAUGACAGACAAUGAUGUGAAGACACUGUUGAAAGCAUUUCUUGAGAAUGUAUCCUCUGUACAAGCAGCAUUUCGUAGGGCUGCAGCAAAUAUGAUUCUUGCGACAUGUUUGAAUUGUCGUAAGCCACAAUUCUUUUUAAAUUAUGUAUUGAAACAUCUUUUAGGUGUUAUAGUCCCUAUAAGUGAAGAUGAGGGUCGUGUAGCAGCUAUAAUCGGUACAUUUGGAUGCAUAAGAAUAAUUUUACCACACAUAUGUAAACUGUCAGAAGUUGAAGACGAUGAAUCAGUGCAAACAGAUAGCUUGUUACAAGUUUAUGAACUAUGUUUACAUUAUACAAAAUGGCACGUUGAUCAUAAUGUUAUAAACGCUGUUUUAGAAACUUUAACUCAGCUUUUAAAGUCUCCUCCAAAAGCUCUGGUAGCCCAGUUGUUAUCAAAUAAAGGUAUAUCACAUAGCAGGAUAGUAUUAAACGAAGAUGAAUCUGUAUUAUCAUUAAGUCAAAUGAGUACUUCAAGUACUACUAUAGCUUGUGGUGAAAACCCCGAAUUUAAUUUACAUUUGCUUGAUUCUGAUGUCCCUGAAAUAAAUCCAAAGAUAGAAAAAUGGAUAUUGGAUUCCGAGAGUGUACCUCCAAUGGUGCAAAAUUCACAAUCUCAAGAAACAUGUACAAGUAAUAUUGUAGAAAUGAAGGGAAAGGUCUUGGAAAAUUACAGUGGUUUGAAGAUCGGAGUUAUCGACAAUGAGGCCAUUGAAGAAGGUAGCGAUGUAGGAAGCGAAAUAGAAAAAUCGGAUAAAACGUAUUCCAGUUUACAAAAUGAAACGAAGGAAGUGGAUUGCUCAGAAGAAAUUGCAUCAUCUAUUGCUUCUCCUAAAAAACUUUCUCUCGAUUUCUCGUUGCGAGAAAUUGACGUUGGAAAUUUUACAGAUUCUGAUAUACCUCUGAAAUUUUGUUGUCGUUAUUUGGUGUCAUCUUUUCUCUUAACUGGCUAUGUUGGCCGUGUAAUGCCAGAUAAAUAUUUUCGUGUUAGUGUAAAAUCUCUUGCUUUAAAUUGCGUCGCUUAUAUUUUAAAACUUUGUCCAAACUUGUUUUUAAUUCCUGUUGCUAAAGAAUCGAAAUCUAUUGAAAAUGAACAAAUGAUAACAGAUAUCUUAUUGUUUGCAAAUCAUUCAGAUCCUCAAAUUAGGGGUAAUAUAUCAAUUAUUAUUGGUACAUUUUUAAAAUCCGUAUAUACACAGUAUGGCGGAUCUUUCAAAAAUUUUGAAAGAGAAAUCUCAAAUAAGAAAGUAAAUGAAAUUAUAUCGUUAGAAAAUUUAAUCAAACUACUGUUAAAGGGAUUAGAAGAUGAUUCUGCUACUACAUGUCGACAAACGCUAACGGCAUUUAGUUUAUGUCUACCAGAGUUGUUAGAAUCUGUCGACAAUAAACACGGAAUUACCGUAUUAGCUGCAUUACCUCAACUAGUAAAGAACCCAUAUUUUCUCGUAAAAGUUAAAUUAGUAGAACUACUAAGUGAGAUAUCGUACGUUACUAUAGAACAUAUAACUGGUGGAUCAAUGUUCCAAGAACAUUUUAUCGAUGUUAUUAUAACGCUAUUAGGUGACCAAGAUCAGAGAAUUAGACACGCAGCAUCAGAUGCUAUUGUCAAGAGUGUUCCUUUAUUGUAUUUUCAACAGCCACAAGAAGAUGUUAUUACAAGGAAAGCUGUGCAAUAUACGGCACAAUUUUUAAGUGCCGUGAACAAAAGUUCUAUAGAAUUAUCUUCCUGUCAGGAGAAACAAAAGUUAUUUCUAAAUACUUCAAUACAGCCAUUUGUAUCUUUGAAUUCUCACAAUGCAGUGGAUUAUCAUCCGAACAUAGAGUACUCUUUAUCCGUUAUAGUUAACAUGUUAGCGGAGAUACUUGGAGUACAAUCAUCAAAGUAUUUAGUGUACGGUUGUUGCGAAGCUUUAUUCCAUUUGAGUAAUGUAUAUACUACUACAGUGUACUUCAGAGGAUGGGAUUGUAUUUCACCAAAGACGCUGUUAAAAAAAUCUCACAAGAGAAGCGGUAGUCGACUAGAUAUCAGUGAAUCAACUUUUGCAAACGAUAUGAUACCAUCAACCGUUAGCAAUAGUCUGUUAUCCUUAGCGUUACCCUUAUUAUCAUCGUCCCCCAUAAGCUUGGAUUUGUCAACGCAUAAACAUUUGAUUCUCCUGGCUGGGAAUCUCGCGUCCGGUCUAGCUUUCUGCAAUUUCAAACCUAAUGACCCAACCAAAAAUUGGGGUACGUUUAAGGAUAAACAAAUAGAAUUGCUGCUAGUACACAUUACAAGAGUAUUAAACAUAUUUGUUCAUAUAAUUGAGGAUGUGCAGUUGACUCAAACCAGUACAAAAACAACAUUGCCAUCUUUGUCAUCCACUCAAACGUUAUCCCCGAAGAAGAAGAUGACCAUUUCCGAAUCAAAGUCAAAAGAAAAAAGUGAGAAGAUCGGAAGUUUAAAGUUUGGGAAAGAACAAAUGGGGUCGUUCAUGUCGAUACCUCAUUACACAAGAAUGUACGAAAUCCUUAAAGCAGCGCAUUUAAAUUAUUUAGCCACUCUCGAGCCGCAUGCCAGUGAAAUGUAUUUAUCUCUAUUGAACGCAGUCUUGGAUGUUCUCUCGCAGAUCCUUGAAAUUAUAUCCCUCAACGAAGUGGCUCAAAUCGCAGAAGAGAUUUUGUAUUAUCUGCAAAGUACUAUGAUACUCUCGCCAACCGCGACGGUUCAGUGUGUGCAACAGUUGUUAAAGUGUCUGUUCAGUACCAACGUAUAUGCACAAUGGAGCGAGUUAGACGUGCAGAAAAAUGCAGAUAAACUGAUAGUGUUUCGAGAUGACGCUAAAGGAUUUUAUAAUCAUUGCUUCCAAAAUCCUGCGAGACAAAUGGCAGACACGAUCAAGUCUAUGGGUAACAACUGCAGAGGUGAAAAUGAACCAGAGACUGGGUGGGUGGGACUGUUGCGUAGGAAGGGCGACAGAAAAUUUUCUUCAGUUUUUAAAAAUCUAACACGCUUAUCCGAUCAAAAGACUUCCGUAGCCUCCUUUAUUCGUCUGUUCGAGCCAAUGGUCAUCAAAUCCCUGAAGCAAUAUACUGUAACGAGUAGCGUGUCGUUGCAAUGUCAAGUACUGAUGUUGCUCAGUCAACUUGUCCAGUUACGAGUCAAUUACUGCUUACUGGACUCUGACAGAAUAUUCAUCGAAUUUGUGUUGAAACAGUUUGAGUUCAUCGAAGAGGGACACGUGCAACAAACGGAGGAUCUUUUACCGAAGAUCUUCAAUUUCCUGGUGCAUCUUUCGUACGAAAAGAAUCAUUCGAAAGCCAUAAUAGGAGUUCCAAAGAUAAUUCAACUGUGCGACGGCCUAAUGGCAAGUGGACAGCCAGCGCUCACACACUGCAUUCCAGCGUUAGCCCCAGUAGUCGAAGACGUAUUCCUGAUUCGAAACGCCAGCUCGAGUCCAAUAGAGCAGAGGGAGUUAGAAACGACUAGGGAAGUCUUAAUCUCGAUGCUUUUGCGUCUCGUAGAGUAUUAUCAAAUCAUCGAAUUGUUGGCAUUAUGCUUGACGGAGUCUAGAUUUAGCGGUGAUGGUAACGGCGAAGAGAAAUGGCGGAGAUGGUCCAGAUCGACAAUGGACUCCGUUCUGCCUAUGUUAGCAGCCGGAAAAAUUCGAAUAGAGUCGGAGAAAGCUCACGUAGCUUUGGUGAAAUUAUUCGCAGCUAUUUCCCCCACAGUUUUUAGGCCAGUCGAUCCUCUUUUGAAAGUGCUUCUAGUUACACCGGAGUCCCUGGAAGUUUCAACGUUGAAGCUGAAGCGAUGGCUGGGAAUGGUUAACGUGGUUUUGUUAUCGUUAAUCGCGUGCGCGAAAGAGGAGGCAAUGUUGGCCCGACUCUCCGACCUGAGUGUAAAUAUGACUGAAUUAUCGCAAUCGUUUCUCCUCCCAGAAUGCUCUGGGACCAUGGACCCCCUGCACGUGUUAGGCUUUCAAUCCAUCGAAAUUCCGCCCGAAAAGAUACUAGCCAGAUUCAUAUUCAAAGUCAUCAGUUUAAUAAGUUCGAAAGUGUAUGAUCUUCUUGGACUGAUCGAUCACAAACGUAGCGAUCCAUACGUUGGUUUCUCCGAGUCUACAGAGGACGAUCAUUAUUUGGUCCACCAACUGGCAUUCUUCCUUCAACUGUGCAUUCACAUGUUCGAGUCCGGAAGUCAUUGCAAAGUUGCGAACGCGGCUAUACAAAUGAUUCAAGGUCGCAAUGUUCCCGAAACAGAAAAGCUACCAAUUGCCGACUUAAACUACUCGAUGCUGAAUAUCGGACACAGAUGCCCCAUGUUGACUUGUCAGUGGGCGUAUCUAAUGAUUUUAUUGGGAUACAACGAGAUGACCUUCUGGUCAAAAAUAUUGGGCACCCGUCGUCCGGACUAUGCUGUGCAUUGUUCUUCCCUGGACGAAAAGAACUGUUCCACCGAACAGGAAAGUAGUAUUAACAUUCAGAUCAUCAGGAAGGGUGGCAUCAUAUUAUUCUGCGAUUACGUAUGCGAAAAUUUGAGCGACGCCGAGCCUCUAACGUGGUUGUUGGUGAACCACACAGAAGAAACCGUGAACAACGCCAUCGAAUCUCCCGUCAAAGAUCUACUGACAGCUGCUAUUCACAGAAAUUCAGCAGCCAGUGGAUUGUUGGUGCAAGCGAUUGCUACGAAAUGCACGGAUCUAUCUCAGCCCAGUUUCGUCAAACGACUCCUGCAGUGCAUCGAAGGUGCUCAUCACUCGCAAAGUGGAACGGUUCUGUUAACCUUGAUACCAAGAUUGCUGUCUACAAGAUAUCUCGCUCUGUCUAGAAUGGCAGCUAAGAUAGCCAGUAGAAGAGUAGAAAUUCUGCUGACCACUUCCGUUGAAGACGUGACGAAGCAGCUGUCGAAGGAGGAUUUCACGAAGAUCAUGGACAUUUUGCAGUCGACUAAGCUAGCUAAGAAGCAUGGAGGACUGGUCAGCCUGCUGAACAAAUUAGGCGUACAAUAUUACGACCUGUCUCCUUUAGAACUUGAUCAGUGCAGACCAUUUAAUCCAUCCACAGUAAAAAGUAUUCAACUGGACCGCAGUUGGUUUUUGUCUCAGGUAAAGUUGCGGUGUUGCAAUCCGAUUGCCAGCUACAACCCAUCGGAGACGGCGCAGUUGCUGAAAGACCUGGACUUCGAAGACUGUCUCGGUAUUCUCUCUUCCAAAGAAUUCAACAUAGCGAUCUUGAAAGCGUGUAUAAUACUGGGCGUACGAACGAGCGUCGAAAAGUGCCAAAAAUUAGAGUUCGGCGUGACGCAGAAUGAAAAAGACUUCAACUUCGAAACUAGUCCUUUGUAUAGUGCUGCGAAGCAACGUUUAUUAGAACACGUUCGCUACGUCACCGAAUUAAUGCCAAAACCUCACCACGUUUACGAUCCUGCACAAUCCAGUGGUAGUUCGAAGGGGUUGAAGUACGCCAUUCGACUCGACGAGCUGCUAAACGAGUCCAUCUACUGGGACAUACUGUACGUGUUGAUCCCAGCUGUAAGAGUGUACGUGAGAACCCUGCCAAAACUGGCAAAAUACAAUUUGGCGAAGAUAGACAGAAAGUCUGAAGAGGACCUCGCGAAAUUUGCGGUUCUAUGUUUAGAGUUGACGCACUGGACACUGUACUGUGACGAGAAAAAUACGAGGAAGCUUAGACCUAAGGAUAUGGAGAUCGCGUUGAGUUGUGCCUCGGAGAUCAUGAAGCAUCCUGGUCCGGAUAAAAUCUUCUGGGACAACAGCAAGUAUUCGUGGGUUUGUAGCGCUGCCGCUUCGUUGACGAGGACGGUGGAGCAUCUGUUAACGACGAUCGACACUUUGUCGGUUAUAGACACGCGUGCUUUAGAGCCGGCACUCGAAGACGAGAGUACCAAAGACUUUGCCCGUGCCUGCUCCCGAAUGGCAGCUCUGGUUGCGUGGUUAGAGCACUGCCAGAGCGAAGGGUCAUCAAAGAACAUUCCUCGCUACUUGUUCGACACGAUACAGGAUCUAAUUGUAAGCAUAAGUCGUCAGCCACUGAUCAAUUCUUACGUCUUAACGCCACCGCUGGUUUGGAAGCACAAUUGGAACGUGGUAGGUUCUGGUACAACGAAGUGUUGCUUCCCGUUGUUGCCCUCCGAGUCGAAUCUCUUGCAGGAAGUGGAGAUCCUCGAGCAGUUCAUUUUCAGGAUAAAUCUGCUGGGCUGGAUAUCCCGCUUGCAGUUCGAGGAAAUAUGGAUGGCGCUGUUAGGGGUGCUGAACCUCUUGCAAAACGAAAGUCUGCAAUCGGAGGAAAUCCCUGCGUUGAUUCAAGCGAGUAGUUUAGCCGUGCAAGCCAUCACCAGGUUGCUCCUGCAGACCUUGCUCCUUCCUUACCCUGGAAACCCACGGGCCAGCACUUUGAUUCAUCAUUCGAGGGACCCUCAGCUUUCGGUUCACAAAAUUAGCUCGCAGAAGUUGUACGCGAUUCAAGAUCUACUCGCGUGGAAGUACGAAUGCCUGAACGACUCGGAGACUACCGGUGCUCUGAGCAUGGACCACAUCUUCUGCCGAGGAAACGUGGAACGAGUUGCGAACUCGAGUAAAUACGCGUACAGUCAACUGUCCGUUCCUUAUCUCUGGUCGUCGUGCAAUCUGUACGAAGACAAGCUGAACGCCUCUGUUCUUGACUUGAAAAAUAGACGGAACGACGCGUUGAUGUCUGCCUCGCUCGAUCUAGAUUCCUGUCUUCGUUUUUUGCGAUUUCAGAACUGUUCGUCGAGAGAAGUCAGUAUCAGUGGAUGCUGGACACGUGCUUGGAGAUGUCGAGGAUUCAUCCUACGGAAAAUGUGAUCUUACAUCAGUACUUAGUGGUGUCCGUGUGCAAGGCUGCUGCUGUGCUAACGCCUUUGGACUUUGAGACGCUGGACAAAGUUAAACGCUUGGUGGACCUGAACUUGAAGUCAGGUUUCUUGCCAGCGAGAGUAUCUGCUCUUCACGGUUC